rnacentral:tRNA from 2 species
GCCCGGGUGGCGGAAUAGGUAGACGCAGGGGACUUAAAAUCCCCCGGCAGUAGUGCCGUGCUGGUUCAAUUCCAGUUCCGGGUACCA